rnacentral:rRNA from 1 species
UACGUAGGUGGCAAGCGAUACUCGGAAUCACUAGGCGUAAAGCGCAGGUAGGCGGUUUGGUAAGUCUUUUGUGAAAGCUCCCGGCUCAACUGGGAGAGGUCAAGGGAAACUACCAGGCUAGAGUGUGGUAGGGGAUACUGGAAUUCCUGGUGUAGCGGUGAAAUGCGUAGAUAUCAGGAGGAAUACCUAUGGCGAAAGCAGGUAUCUGGGCCAUCACUGACGCUGAGCUGCGAAAGCUAGGGGAGCAAACAGG